rnacentral:tRNA from 1 species
GCUCCCAUGGCGUAGUGGUCACUGCGCUCGCCUUGCACGCGGGAGAUCCGGGUUCGAUUCCCGGCGGAAUCA